rnacentral:rRNA from 1 species
GACGAACGCUGGCGGCGUGCCUAAUACAUGCAAGUAGAACGCACAGUUUAUACCGUAGCUUGCUCCACCAUAAACUGUGAGUUGCGAACGGGUGAGUAACGCGUAGGUAACCUGCCUGGUAGCGGGGGAUAACUAUUGGAAACGAUAGCUAAUACCGCAUAAUAUUGAUUAUUGCAUGAUAAUUGAUUGAAAGAUGCUAUUGCAUCACUACCAGAUGGACCUGCGUUGUAUUAGCUAGUAGGUGAGGUAACGGCUCACCUAGGCGACGAUACAUAGCCGACCUGAGAGGGUGAUCGGCCACACUGGGACUGAGACACGGCCCAGACUCCUACGGGAGGCAGCAGUAGGGAAUCUUCGGCAAUGGACGAAAGUCUGACCGAGCAACGCCGCGUGAGGGAAGAAGGUUUUCGGAUCGUAAAGCUCUGUUGUAAGAGAAGAACGGGUGUGAGAGUGGAAAGUUCACACUGUGACGGUAUCUUACCAGAAAGGGACGGCUAACUACGUG